UUUAGCUAGAGAGAGAUACAGAGAGAACGAAUAAAUAAAACGGCAGGAAAGUUAACCAGAGGUUGUUCAGGUUGGCUACCCUGCGCAGGGGAAAGGGGUAAGGGUAUAGAAACAGAGAGACCAGUAGGGGACAAAGAAAGAAUGAGAUUCAAACACAAACAAAGUAACUGCGUACACUAUACAACGGUAGCAGGCGACACUCUUAAAGUCUAUCAUGACGGCCUGUAGACCACAGGAACGUGAAUAGUGCAAAUACAGUAAAACCUCGUUAAUAUGUACCCGCUUAACAGGUGAUUCCGGUUUAAAUAUAGUUGCGAUGAAUCCCCUGCCCCUGUCGCCAUUGAACCUAAUGUAUUAGCUGCACGCUUAAGCAGUAGUCACUCAACGCAUGCAAAACGGUUAGUGCGUAGCAUUUACUUCAUUUUUCGGCGUGCACAAGUGUGAAAUUGGCGAAAUUGCAGCGCACGGACCUUUCCCGGACUGCAAUCACCACCGAAAGUGACAUCAAAACAUGGCAGCCAUAAUGUUUUUCCUGCUCCCAUAGCUUCUAGCGCUUCCAUGUCGUCGUCAUGGAUGACGGCGUGAAUGAUGGCACUUCCGUAUCUGAUGCGGCUAGUGCGUCAACCGUCAUGAGGGUGUUCAAGGGGAAGUGGGGCCUGUUGGAGAAACUGGCUCACAGCCUUGCCGAGUUUGAGGAUGCCGUCGUCGCUGCAAGACUGCCAGGGUUGCACGUGAAAAUCGGAUUUCUUGCUGCCUGCUCGCAAAUAAAACUUGUCUGCGUGUGUGUUUGUGUGAGAAUUAACUCAUUUUUUGUUUGCCUGGUAAGUCUAUACCCACUCAUCUUCCAUUGUCAGUUAAUUAGCACAUUGCUUAGUGCGUACCUGAUCCACGUUCCCCGCCAACUACAUAUUAACAAGGUUUACGGCAUAUAUAAAAUG
rnacentral:lncRNA from 1 species